ensembl:snoRNA SNORA70 Small nucleolar RNA SNORA70
UAGCAAUAUAUCCAACAUUAAUUAUUCAAAACUAGGGGAGACUCAUUGUGCAAAAGUGCAAACAGCAGCCUCCUGGGUAGUGUCUGCAGCCUGUGGCUUGUAUAGAUUGCCUGAAGGGACCUUGGAGACAGCC